GACGAACCGUGCAAACGUUGUUCGGAAUCACUGGGCUUAAAGGGCGCGUAGGCGGGCAAGCAAGUCCGGGGUGAAAUCUUUCGGCUUAACCGGAAAAGUGCCUUGGAUACUGCUUGUCUUGAGGGAGGUAGGGGCAUGCGGAACUUCUGGUGGAGCGGUGAAAUGCGUUGAUAUCAGAAGGAACGCCGGUGGCGAAGGCGGCGUGCUGGACCUCUUCUGACGCUGAUGCGCGAAAGCUAGGGGAGCAAACGGG
rnacentral:rRNA from 1 species